rnacentral:rRNA from 1 species
CUAUGCACUCCUACGGGAGGCAGCAGUGGGGAAUAUUGCACAAUGGGCGCAAGCCUGAUGCAGCCAUGCCGCGUGUAUGAAGAAGGCCUUCGGGUUGUAAAGUACUUUCAGCAGUGAGGAAGGCGGGUACGUUAAUAGCGUGCUCGUUUGACGUUAGCUGCAGAAGAAGCACCGGCUAACUCCGUGCCAGCAGCCGCGGUAAUACGGAGGGUGCGAGCGUUAAUCGGAAUUACUGGGCGUAAAGCGCAUGCAGGUGGUUUGUUAAGUCAGAUGUGUAAGCCCGGGGCUCAACCUCGGAAUUGCAUUUGAAACUGGCAGACUAGAGUACUGUAGAGGGGGUAGAAUUUCAGGUGUAGCGGUGAAAAUGCGUAGAGAUCUGAAGGAAUACCGGUGGCGAAGGCGGCCCCCUGGACAGAUACUGACACUCAGAUGCGAAAGCGUGGGGAGCAAACAGGAUUAGAUACCCUGGUAG